CCUACGGGAGGCAGCAGUAAGGGAUAUUGGUCAAUGGGGGAAACCCUGAACCAGCAACGCCGCGUGAGGGAAGACGGUUUUCGGAUUGUUAACCUCUGUCCUCUGUGAAGCUGAUGACGGUAGCAGUGGAGGAAGCUCCGGCUAACUACGUACCAGCAGCCGCGGUAAUACGUAGGGAGCGGGCGUUUUCCGGAUUUACUGGGUGUACAGGGGGCGUAGGCGGCUUGGCAAGUCAGGAGUGAAAUCCAUGGGCUUAAACCAUGAAGUGCUAUUGAAACUGGCGCGCUUGAGUGAAGUAGAGGUAGGCGGAAUGCGCGGUGUAGCGGUGAAAUGCGUAGAGAGCGCGAAGAACACCAGUGGCGAAGGCAGCCUACUGGGCUUUAACUGACGCUGAGGCACGAAAGCGUGGGUAGCAAACAGGAUUAGAUACCCCUGUAGUC
rnacentral:rRNA from 1 species